CUUUUCCUGUUCUGGAGCUCAGGUUUAAUAUUUUUGUAACUUUCCCAGCUCUCAUUCUCCUUUUUAUGUAAGAGCUUGUUUGAUUCAAUUCCACAACACAAAAUUUUGUGGAAUUCUUUUUGAUAAAUUUGAUUGUUAAGACAUGCUAGUUGACAGAGGCUCACAGUCCAUAUCACUAUCUUACUCGAUUUGAAGUUUCAGGAAUAGCUGACAAUGAAGGUUGGGAUUUUCUUAAUUUUCAUCUUCAAAAUUUUCUCGGCAAUCAAACGCACCUCUGGUUUUCAGUACGUCAGUUAGGAAGAAGUAGAAAGAGAUGCUGCUGGGAUUUCAAAAAAUGAGCUAUGUUUAAGGGUACGUUUUACAAGGAUAAAUUGGUCUUUUUGUAGCAUUUAUGAAGCCGUGGCGACAGCAAAAAUGGCCGUGGCAAUAGUCACCCUAAAAAUAUUUAUAUUCCGGGAAAAUUUAUCUUGCCCACUUGAUCAUCAUCGCCAUCUUCUCUUCAGCCUCAGCUAAAAUAGAAAUUUUCCUCUGUCUUCUCUCUGUUAGAGCUUUGGAGUUGUUUUCCAUUUUGUGUUUCUACAAAAUUUUAAGAGCGGUCGGUAGUAAAAAUCAAAUUCUAGGGUUUGGAUUCGAUUGGAUUGGAUCUUCUCAUCGUAAAUUGAUAUUAUUAUAGUGCGGUGAACGAGAUUGGUACAGAGAGGCAGACGAAUGAGUGUCGUUUCUGACGAGAUGUUGUUUUACUUAUCGUCAGCUAAUCUUGAGUUGUCCUUUUUGUUAUGGGAGCCUGCCUCAUUCAUAUUUGUUUCCUUUUAAAUCAAGAGGAAGGUAUUCCAGCUUCUGAUAUCUGUUGAUAAGGGAAGGCUUAUUUUCUGCCAUGCCUUCUCUACAAUUGUUGCAACUAACUGAGCAUGGUCGAAGCCUCUUGGCUUCAAGAAGGAAAUCUCUAUUGUUUGCUGGUGGUAUCUUAGUUUUGGCGGGACUGCUGCAUAUGUGAAGUCACGGCAUGGCUGUAAAAAGUUUGAUUCUAUUGAUCACUACAAUGGGCUUAGGGGUGAUAAUGACAAAUCAGACAAGCAGGUUGCGAAAGAAGCUAAGAAAAUUAUUCAGAAAAAAGGAAGUUUGAAAUCACUCCAUGUUCUAGCUUCUGUUCUUUUGUCUGAGAUGGGCAAAAGGGGCACAAGGGAUCUUUUGGCUAUGAUAGCUAUAGCAGUGUUGAGAACUGCUUUGAGCAACAGAUUAGCAAAAGUACAGGGAUUUCUAUUCCGUGCUGCUUUUCUCCGACGCGUGCCAUUAUUUUUCGGUUGAUAUCUGAAAAUAUCUUAUUAUGUUUUCUUCUAUCCA